AUUGAACGCUGGCGGCAGGCCUAACACAUGCAAGUCGAGCGGAGCGGCGGAAGGGUGAGUAAUGCCGAGGACUCUGCCUGGUAGUGGGGGAUAACGUCCGGAAACGGGCGCUAAUACCGCAUACGAUCAGAGUAGCCUAGGUCGGAUUAGCUAGUUGGUGGGGUAAAGGCCUACAAAGGCGACGAUCCGGAACUGGUAUGAGAGGAUGAUCAGUCAAACUGGAAUUGAGACACGGGCCAGACUCCUACGGGAGGCAGCAGUGGGGAAUAUGGGACAAUGGGCGAAAGCCUGAUCCAGCCAUGCCGAGUGUGUGAAGAAGGUCUUCGGAUUGUAAAGCACUUUAGGUUGGGAGGCGUUACCAACAGAAUAAGCACCGGCUAACUGCGUGCCAGCAGCCGCGGUAAUAC
rnacentral:rRNA from 1 species